AGUUUGAUCCUGGCUCAGGAUGAACGCUGGCGGCGUGCUUAACACAUGCAAGUCGAACGAUGAAAGGGAGCUUGCUCCCUGGAUUAGUGGCGAACGGGUGAGUAACACGUGAGUAACCUGCCCUUGACUCUGGGAUAAGCACUGGAAACGGUGUCUAAUACCGGAUACGAACUUCAGCCGCAUGGCUAGGAGUUGGAAAGAAUUUCGGUCAAGGAUGGACUCGCGGCCUAUCAGCUAGUUGGUGAGGUAAUGGCCCACCAAGGCGACGACGGGUAGCCGGCCUGAGAGGGUGACCGGCCACACUGGGACUGAGACACGGCCCAGACUCCUACGGGAGGCAGCAGUGGGGAAUAUUGCACAAUGGGCGCAAGCCUGAUGCAGCAACGCCGCGUGAGGGACGACGGCCUUCGGGUUGUAAACCUCUUUUAGUAGGGAAGAAGCGAA
rnacentral:rRNA from 1 species